rnacentral:lncRNA from 1 species
CCCGAUGAAGCUUACCAAAGUGUUGACACCUUUCUUGUUUAAUGGUUGACCUUCUGUGUUCCAUUCAACCGGUAUCUUCAGGUUCGUACUUCUUGCACGAAUCACCUUCUUCAUGCAAGUCAUUCCAUGAGGAGGGCGUUUGAAAGGAGGAGUAGGUACCGUUGAAUCAUCACCACUAUAAGAAUCAUCACUGUGAGAAGUCAUUGAUGAAGUUGUAUUUACAUGUUUCUGAGUGUUUGAAAGUUCAGAGGGUUUGAGAGUUUUUGAUCAUAGAAGUUUUGAGAGUAUAGCGGUAAGUGUUUCAACUUUUGAUAUUUAAAAUAUUGUAACCCAUCAACAAUGCUUAUUUAAGAAUGCGUUUUUAAUGAGUACCCAUCAACAAUGCUUAUUUAAGAAUGCGUUGUUAAUGAGUACCCAUCAACAGCGCAUUUUUAUGGUAGCGUUGUUGAUGAGUAC